UUCUUCCUUGUCAUCGUCACCAUCUAAAGAGUCUAGAAGAGAUGGAUCUACCUUGGCCCAAGCUUUUUUUUGCCUUUACUUCGGCAGAUUUCAUAUCCUUUCGCAUACAUAUGGACGAUCUUAUUGUUCAGCUCGGCGGAUUUUCUGUAUUCUGCCUGGAUAUCCCUACGAAAGUCUUCGGUCAGUGGCGGACUCAAAUUCUUAAGGGCCCGAAGCUCUUUGAGCUCUUCUUCGAGCUUCUGACGAUGUACCAGAUGCUUUGAUCCUUUAGCUUGACAGAUCAAUAUUUAUAUCAGUGAUGACUUGGUGAGUGGCCCGGGACGUUUUCAAAUCUUCUUUGGUUUGGGCAAGGUCUUUCUGAAGGCACUCAUUAUCGUGAAAAGCAACUUUGAGACUACUUCUAUCUUUCGUCAAAGCAGACUUAAGCAGGGUAUUCUCUCUUCGAGCAGCUUUCUCUUCGGCUUCGGCCUCUUGGUAUUUGGGGCGGAGGCAUCCGAAGACAGUGCUUGCCUGCGGAUGAUCAGUGUUAGUCUAUCAGUUCAAAAUUAAUGGGCUGAGAUGUAAAUGGAUAAGUUAAGCUUACUCUAGCUUGGUACUUCAGUCCCUCGUUGAUCAGGUCCAUGAUAGAGCUAUUGCUGAACUGGUGGUUGUCGGUAUUAUGGACGAAGGAGUUGUAGAGCUCAAAUGGGAAGUU
rnacentral:lncRNA from 1 species